GAUGAACGCUAGCUACAGGCUUAACACAUGCAAGUCGAGGGGAAACGAUAGAGAAAGCUUGCUUUUUCUAGGCGUCGACCGGCGCACGGGUGAGUAACGCGUAUCCAACCUGCCCACCACUUGGGGAUAACCUUGCGAAAGUAAGACUAAUACCCAAUGACGUCUCUAGAAGACAUCUGAAAGAGAUUAAAGAUUUAUCGGUGAUGGAUGGGGAUGCGUCUGAUUAGCUUGUUGGCGGGGUAACGGCCCACCAAGGCGACGAUCAGUAGGGGUUCUGAGAGGAAGGUCCCCCCACAUUGGAACUGAGACACGGUCCAAACUCCUACGGGAGGCAGCAGUGAGGAAUAUUGGUCAAUGGACGAGAGUCUGAACCAGCCAAGUAGCGUGCAGGAUGACGGCCCUAUGGGUUGUAAACUGCUUUUAUAAGGGAUAAAGUGAGUCUCGUGAGACUUUUUGCAUGUACCUUAUGAAUAAGGACCGGCUAAUUCCGUGCCAGCAG
rnacentral:rRNA from 1 species